UACGGAGGGUGCGAGCGUUGUCCGGAAUCACUGGGCUUAAAGGGCGCGUAGGCGGGCCGUCAAGUCAGGGGUGAAAGCCCCCAGCUCAACUGGGGAAGUGCCUUUGAUACUGACGGCCUCGAGGGAGAUAGGGGCGUGCGGAACUUCCGGUGGAGCGGUGAAAUGCGUAGAUAUCGGAAGGAACACCGGUGGCGAAAGCGGCGCGCUGGAUCUCUUCUGACGCUGAGGCGCGAAAGCCAGGGGAGCGAACGGG
rnacentral:rRNA from 1 species